CGACAGAGGCAGUAGCCAGCGUGAACCAGCUCCUCCUCGUGCUCUCCGCCUGUCUCUCUCCAAGCUUUCCUCUUCCUCCGUUCCCCUCCCCUCUCCCUCUGGCCUCCCUUGUAGGUAGUCAGUAGUUAGCAAGAGGCGCUCGCCGGCUGGAGGCGCGUCUGCAGCCUAGAUUCUCUCCCCGCUGCGCCAUGCUUGUCCCGGUUCUUGGUGUCCUCUUUGGAGUUGCUCCAUGGUUUGCUGGAGCUCACCGAGCAACCAUGGCGCCACCCCGAACUCUGGAUCCGGCGCCCCCAAACCUCGACGGCCUCCCCCGCGCGCCUCCCUGACCCUCCUCCAUCUGGAUCCGUCCGGUGGCAGCCGGAUUGUCGCCGUUCUCUGGAGUCAAACCCAUGCCGCCACGUCCCUCAGUCGUCUCGCGCAAGAGGACGACGAGUAGACCCCUGUCACGGGAUCUCGCGGGCUCCUCAGCCUCGGCUGGAUCCAACACGCGCUGAUUAUGCCGCUGCCCCGCCUCCCGCGCGUCCUCCUCCUCCCAGUCGUGGCCCAUGGCGGCGAGGAGCGUGUUGAGCAGCCCGAUCGUGGUCGGCGGCGUGCGCUGCAGCCGGCCGGCGCGGGCCUGGAGCGCUGCGGCCUGGGCCUCGCUGUCGGCGAACCGCGUGCGGCGAAGAGGAGGCAGGCCGUGGUGUGGGGAGGAGGGCACGGCGGAGAGGAGGUAGGCCGGCGCGCGGGGAUGGCGUCGCGGAUGAUGCGGACCGGCGGCGGGGAGGCGGAGGAUCCAGAUCGGGGUGGGAGGCGCGGUCGCUCGACUCUGGGGUUUUUUUUUUGGCAAACCGCACACGCGUCCACGGAUGGAUUAGAAAUACGAAACAUUUUUUUUCACAUAUUUACUGGACUGUGGGUUAAUUACUUAAUAUCAUAGGGGUUUUUCUGUAAAAAUGCCGACGACGUACGGCAGAAACCCAAUUCGCUUUAUUAUUAUUAUUAUUAUUA